rnacentral:rRNA from 1 species
GGGGCAGGGGGUCUACCUGCAGUCGACGAGAAGGGAUUGCUUGCAAUCCUGAGUAGAGUGGCGCACGGGUGAGUAACACGUAGAUAAUCUACCUUCAAGCCUGGAAUAACUGUUCGAAAGAACAGCUAAUACCGGAUAAAGUUGAUUUACACAGGUAAGUUAAUGAAAGAUUGCCUAUCCUUGGAAGCAAUUGUUUGGAGAUGAGUCUGCGGACCAUUAGUUUGUUGGUGGGGUAACGGCCUACCAAGACCGCGAUGGUUAGCUUGUCUGAGAGGAUGAUCAGCCACACUGGAACUGGAACACGGUCCAGACUCCUACGGGAGGCAGCAGUGAGGAAUUUUGCGCAAUGGGGGUAACCCUGACGCAGCAACGCCGCGUGAGUGAAGAAGGCCUUUGGGUCGUAAAGCUCUGUCGACAGGGAAGAAAUUAGAGUUUUCUAACAGGAUAUUCUAUUGACGGUACCCGUAGAGGAAGCACCGGCUAACUCCGUGCCAGCAGCCGCGGUAACACGGGGGGUGCAAGCGUUAUUCGGAAUUAUUGGGCGUAAAGGGCGCGCAGGCGGUCUUGUCGGUCAGAUGUGAAAGCCCGGGGCUCAACCCUGGAAGUGCAUUUGAAACAGCAAGACUUGAGUACGGGAGAGGAGAGCGGAAUUCCUGGUGUAGAGGUGAAAUUCGUAGAUAUCAGGAGGAACACCGAUGGCGAAGGCAGCUCUCUGGACCGAUACUGACGCUGAGGCGCGAAGGCGUGGGUAGCGAACAGGAUUAGAUACCCUGGUAGUCCACGCAGUAAACGUUGUUCACUCGGUGUGCCGGAUAUUAAAAUCUGGUGUGCCUAAGCUAACGCAUUAAGUGAAC